UACGGGGGGGGCAAGCGUUGUUCGGAAUUACUGGGCGUAAAGGGCGCGUAGGCGGCUCUGUUAGUCAGGCGUGAAAGUCCUGGGCUCAACCUGGGAACUGCGCUUGAUACGGCAGAGCUAGAGGAUGGAAGAGGCUCGCGGAAUUCCCAGUGUAGAGGUGAAAUUCGUAGAUAUUGGGAAGAACACCGGUGGCGAAGGCGGCGAGCUGGUCCAUUACUGACGCUGAGGCGCGACAGCGUGGGGAGCAAACAGG
rnacentral:rRNA from 1 species